rnacentral:rRNA from 1 species
UACAGAGGUGGCAAGCGUUGUUCGGAAUUACUGGGCGUAAAGGGCGCGUAGGCGGUUCGAUAAGUCCCGUGUGAAAUCCCUCGGCUUAACCGAGGAACUGCCUGUCAGACUGGAAGGCUUGAGACCGGGAGAGGUGAGUGGAAUUCCCAGUGUAGCGGUGAAAUGCGUAGAUAUUGGGAGGAACACCAGUGGCGAAGGCGGCUCACUGGACCGGAACUGACGCUGAGGCGCGAAAGCGUGGGGAGCAAACAGG